rnacentral:rRNA from 1 species
UUACGAGGUCAGGACACUGUGAGGAUUGACAGAUUGAAGGCUCUUUCUUGAUUCAGUGGGUGGUGGUGCAUGGCCGUUCUUAGUUGGUGGAGUGAUUUGUCUGGUUAAUUCCGUUAACGAACGAGACCUUAACCUGCUAAAUAGUCACGCGAACCGGUCCGCAAGGGCUCAAAGUUCGCGGCUCGACUUCUUAGAGGGACUAUUCGCACCCGCCAGCGAAUGGAAGUUUGAGGCAAUAACAGGUCUGUGAUGCCCCUAGAUGUUCUCGGCCGCACGCGCGUUACACUGACGGAGUCAACGAGCGUUUUUCCUUGCCCGAUAGGGUUGGGUAACCUCCUGAAACUCCGUCGUGAUGGGGAUAGAUCAUUGCAAUUAUUGAUCUUGAGCGAGGAAUUCCUAGUAGGCGCGAGUCAUCAACUCGCGCCGAUUACGUCCCUGCCCUUUGUACACACCGCCCGUCGCUCCUACCGAUUGAACGGUCCGGCGAGAACUCCGGAUGGUC